rnacentral:tRNA from 1 species
GGUUGUAGCUCAGUGGUACAGCUCUUGACUAGCAUGUCUGAGGCACUGGGUUCGAUUCUCAGCACCA